UAGGCGGUGCUCUCCUUCUGCACUGUGUUCAACCAUUGUGUCAAUAAUAAGUGCUGCUGUGAAGAGAACAAUUCUCAGACUGAAUGUUGAACAUCAGCUAGUUUCUCCUGUUGAUUGAAACCUUGUUGUACAGAUGGAACAUUGGCUGUGGAUUAUUCUUGCUGCUCUUUUCUUUGAGUGUAAAGGAGAAGACAAAGUGAUCCAGGAACAAGGAGAUGUCAUUGCUGCUGAAGGAGACACAGUUACACUUGGAUGUCAGUAUGAGAGCAGUGGAACAAAUAAUUAUCUCUUCUGGUACAAACAGGAUGGAAACAACAGCCCCAAAUUCAUCCUGAGUCGUGUUAGUGGGGAUGAUGGAAACACAGCAGCCGAGUUCAAGGAGAGAUUUUCAUCCACACUGGAUUCCAGCAUCAGAUCAGUUCCUCUGAAGAUCCAGAAGCUUCAGCUGUCUGACUCUGCUGUGUACUACUGUGCUGUGAGG